AGAUAAUAACAUAAGUUUGAAAACUGCAAUUGGGCCUACUAACUGACAGACUGUUCAGUCUUUAAUAAUGUGAGAAUAAACAGAAUAAAUUAAAAGCACACCAUAUUCUUCUCAGCUUCCUCAGGGGCUUUGUCCAAACAGCUUGAACAACUGCAAAAUAAUAUUCAGGAACCAUGAUAGUGUUUGGUACAUAGAGGACACUGGAAAUGGUUUUCUUAACUGAACAAGUGACUAGAAUAAAGGAAUUAAUGAACGACAUCAGAGCUGAAAUCCCAAACCAUAAAUCAUAAAAGGAUCAGACAGCAAAGAGUACUCAAAAGCUGAUUUAUUGAGAUCCUGAUGAGUUUGAAGUAACUAGAAACUUGAUCAGGACCCUGACUAAUAUAAGAUGAUUUUUUAAAACUGGAAUCUCAGUGGAUUCGUCUCAACACGGCCAGAUGGAUGAUUCUUCCAGGGACUAAUGAACUUGUUAGAAUUUCGGAUAACAUUUGGUUGUCAAAAAAAAAAAAAGAGCAUAAAAAGUAAUAGACCAUAACUGAGAUGGGUGGGGCUUAUUCUAGAUAAGAUAGUCAAGGACUGACAUAUGGGGACAGUGACAAGACCCAAGAUUUGUUUUACUCUAAAGUGAGAAAUUAUCCUCAACAAAAAAACAUUUCACAGUGAGAAUCAGAAGAAUAUUUGCAUCAGGCAACUCUGGGUGCUAGAUAUUUAUUUUUUUUCUUUUUCACAUGAACUAUAAAAACUUACCACAAAAGACUGAUCUCCACAACUGCUUAUACUCUAGGAUUAUUAUACAUUGCACUGUUCUUGCUGAUACUCCAAAGACAUGUAGAAAAUAGAAAGGUAAGUUUGCAGGAGGAAAAAAGAACAAUGGAAUGAAGAAGCAAACAGGGAGUUAAAAUAACUCCUUGGAAUAGUAGAAUCAGGAAAGCAAAGGUAAAGCAUUAAAGUCUAAGGGCUGCAUGACUCCUAAGGGGAAAAUGCAUGUAUUUCUUUUAUUUUGCACUGAGAUUAAAUUUGCUGAUUUUUUU
rnacentral:lncRNA from 10 species